AUUAUUUUUCCAAAAAAAAAAAAAAAAAAAAAAUCUGUUCUUAUCAGUUUAAUAUCUGAUACGUCCCCUAUCUGGGGACCAUAUAUUAAAUUGAUUUUUGGAAUAGGGAGAUGGAAUAGGGGCUUGCUCCGUCCACUCCACGCAUCGACCUGGUAUUGCAGUACCUCCAGGAACGGUGCACCCCCU
rnacentral:snRNA from 13 species